UGAUCCUGGCUCAGAACGAACGCUGGCGGCAGGCUUAACACAUGCAAGUCGAACGGUCUCUUCGGAGGCAGUGGCAGACGGGUGAGUAACGCGUGGGAAUCUACCUAUCUCUACGGAACAACAGUUGGAAACGACUGCUAAUACCGUAUACGCCCCCCUUUGUGAUUAUUGGGUGGGGAAAGAUUUAUCGGAGAUAGAUGAGCCCGCGUUAGAUUAGCUAGUUGGUGAGGUAAUGGCUCACCAAGGCGACGAUCUAUCGCUGGUCUGAGAGGAUGAUCAGCCACACUGGGACUGAGACACGGCCCAGACUCCUACGGGAGGCAGCAGUGGGGAAUAUUGGACAAUGGGCGCAAGCCUGAUCCAGCCAUGCCGCGUGUGUGAUGAAGGCCCUAGGGUUGUAAAGCACUUUCAACGGUGAAGAUAAUGACGGUAACCGUAGAAGAAGCCCCGGCUAACUUCGUGCCAGCAGCCGCGGUAAUACGAAGGGGGCUAGCGUUGUUCGGAAUUACUGGGCGUAAAGCGUACGUAGGCGGACUAUUAAGUUAGGGGUGAAAUCCCAGGGCUCAACCCUGGAACUGCCUCUAAUACUGGUAGUCUUGAGUUCGAGAGAGGUGAGUGGAAUUCCGAGUGUAGAGGUGAAAUUCGUAGAUAUUCGGAGGAACACCAGUGGCGAAGGCGGCUCACUGGCUCGAUACUGACGCUGAGGUACGAAAGUGUGGGGAGCAACCAGGAUUAGAUACCCUGGUAGU
rnacentral:rRNA from 1 species